UUAAGUUCAGCGGGUAUCCCUACCUGAUCCGAGGUCAACCUGAAGAAGAUGGGGGUUGCUGGCAGGCACGCGCCAGGCCUCCGGAGCGAGAAGAGUUACUACGCUCGGAGCCGGGCGGCACCGCCACUGACUUUAGGGCCCGCCAGGCGGCGGGGCCCAACACCAAGCUGGGCUUGAGGGUUGUAAUGACGCUCGGACAG
rnacentral:misc_RNA from 1 species